UAGGGAAUAUUGGGCAAUGGACGGAAGUCUGACCCAGCCAUGCCGCGUGCAGGAAGAAGGCGCUCAGCGUUGUAAACUGCUUUUAUCGGGGAAGAACGGCAGUCCUGCGGGAUUGUGUGACGGUACUCGAGGAAUAAGCACCGGCUAACUCCGUGCCAGCAGCCGCGGUAAUACGGAGGGUGCGAGCGUUGUCCGGAUUUAUUGGGUUUAAAGGGUGCGUAGGUGGUUGAGUAAGUCUGGUUUGAAAGUCAGUCGCUUAACGAUUGAGGGUGGCUGGAUACUGCUGAGCUUGAAUGCCAUGGAGGUAGGUGGAACGGGUUGUGUAGCGGUGAAAUGCAUAGAUAUGCGGAGGAACACCGAUGGCGAAGGCAAUCCCCUGGACCUGUACUGACGCUCAUGCACGAAAGCGUGGGGAGCAAACA
rnacentral:rRNA from 1 species